rnacentral:rRNA from 1 species
GGAUACGGCCAUACUGCGCAGAAAGCACCGCUUCCCAUCCGAACAGCGAAGUUAAGCUGCGCCAGGCGGCGUUAGUACUGGGGUGGGCGACCACCCGGGAAUCCGCCGUGCUGUAUCCUCCU